rfam:Dietzia timorensis strain ID05-A0528, complete genome.
CAUAGCCGUUCGGGAGAGAUCUGAUCCUGCUCGCGAUCAGGCGCCGAAGGAGCAACUCCUCUCCGGGAAACUCUCAGGCACCACGGACCGAAACGGCGUC